rnacentral:lncRNA from 1 species
UUCACUUGUACUAAAGCCAAUCUGCCAUAUGUCAAGCCCUAUCUUCACAAGAUAGGCUUUAUUCUCUGGCUAACUAAGUGACUUAUCAGUGGAUUAACCACAUCUCAUAUGGAGUUUGCUCUCUGCACCUUUAUGUAUUUCUACUUGAGGUAGUCGCGUGUUCUGUUGCUCUAUGUGCUUGGAUAUCUGGUGAGACCUAAGCUCCUUAGCAAAGGCUACGGUGCAAUUGCCUUUGAAGUAUAGUGUCAUGGUAUCUGAUGGCAUGACAUCCAGUUCUGCAACUAACAUGAACCAGAAUGCAUCCUAUAUAUCUACAGUGUACUCAGCUUCCAUUGAUCGAUUAUUUGAAACUCUUCCAAGAUAUCGACACAAAAACACACCCCAUGAUGUAGACAUUCUACCAUCAAUAUCAGACAUAAAAUCUGAAUUGGUGUAUCCUUCUACUCCUAGCUUUGAUCCUUCUCCAAAUUAAGAACUUAUCUUUAGUUCUUCUCAAGUAUUUAAGGAUAUUUUCACAGUAAUCUAGCGCUCUCAGUCUGGAUACAACUGAUAUCUACUCAUGACACUCACAGUAUUAACUAUAUCAAUUCAAGUAUAUUACAUGGGAUAUAUCUAUACCCAAGAGGAUAGCAGACCCCACUUCGAGAUUUCUAUGCUGAACCCUUUCAGCAUCUACUCUUUAUACUUUAUCUGUGAAAAUACAAGCAUCCAAUUGUAUCUAUCUCUAUAGAUCUUUAUAUUCUCAG